rnacentral:rRNA from 1 species
GCGCAGCAGUCGAGAAACCUCCGCAAUGCUCGAAAGAGCGACGGGGGACUCCAAGUGCCUACGCUUUGCGUAGGCUUUUCCCAAGCCUAAAAAGCUUGGGGAAUAAGGGCUGGGUAAGACGGGUGCCAGCCGCCGCGGUAAUACCCGCAGCCCGAGUGGUGGCCGCUUUUAUUGGGCCUAAAGCGUCCGUAGCCGGUCUGGUAAAUGCCUGGGUAAAUCGUCUGGCUCAACCAGACGAAUUCCGGGUAGACUGCCAGACUAGGGACCGGAGGAAGGAGAGGGUACUCCGGGGGUAGGGGUGGAAAUCCUGUAAUCCUCGGAGGACCACCGGUGGCGAAGGCGCUCUCCUAGGACGGGUCCGACGGUGAGGGACGAAAGCCAGGGGAGCAAACCGGAUUAGAUACCCCGGUAGU